rnacentral:rRNA from 1 species
UACGGAGGGUGCAAGCGUUGUUCGGAAUCACUGGGCGUAAAGGGCGCGUAGGCGGCCACCUAAGUCCGAUGUGAAAGCCCGGGGCUCAACCCCGGAAGUGCAUUGGAAACUGAGUGGCUUGAGUUCGGGAGAGGAAGGCAGAAUUCCCGGUGUAGGGUUGAAAUCCGUAGAUAUCGGGAGGAAAACCGGUGGCGAAGGCGGCCUUCUGGAACGAAACUGACGCUGAGGCGCGAAAGCGUGGGGAGCAAACAGGAUUAGAGACCCUGGUAGUCCACGCGGUAAACGAUGGAUGCUGGGUGUGGGGUUCAAUACGGAGCUCCGUGCCGAAGCUAACGCAUUAAGCAUCCCGCCUGGGGAGUACGGUCGCAAGACUAAA